CUACGGGAGGCUGCAGUGGGGAAUAUUGCACAAUGGAGGAAACUCUGAUGCAGCAACGCCGCGUGGAGGAUGACACUUUCCGGAGCGUAAACUCCUUUUAUAUAGGAAGAAGAUGACGGUACUAUAUGAAUAAGCGCCGGCUAACUCCGUGCCAGCAGCCGCGGUAAUACGGAGGGCGCAAGCGUUACUUGGAAUCACUGGGCGUAAAGAGCGUGUAGGCGGAUUAAAAAGUCAGAAGUGAAAUCCUAUAGCUUAACUAUAGAACUGCUUCUGAAACUCUUAAUCUAGAAUAUGGGAGAGGUAGAUGGAAUUUCUGGUGUAGGGGUAAAAUCCGUAGAGAUCAGAAGGAAUACCGAUUGCGAAGGCGAUCUACUAGAACAUUAUUGACGCUGAGACGCGAAAGCGUGGGGAGCAAACAGGAUUAGAUACCCGUGUAGUC
rnacentral:rRNA from 1 species